GUCGCAAGACUGAAACUUAAAGAAAUUGGCGGGGGAGCACCACAAGGGGUGGAGCCUGCGGUUUAAUUGGAUUCAACGCCGGACAUCUCACCGGGGGCGACGGCAAGUGUGAAGGCCAAGUUGACGACUUUGCCGGAUUCGCCGAGAGGUGGUGCAUGGCCGCCGUCAGCUCGUAUCGUGAGACGUCCUGUCAAGUCAGGUAACGAGCGAGACCCUCACCCUUAGUUGCCAUCGGAUCCCGCAAGGGAUGCCGGGAACUCUAAGGGGACCGCUGUCGAUAAGACAGAGGAGGGAGAGGGCGACGGUAGGUCCGUAUGCCCCGAAUCCCCCGGGCAACACGCGGGCUACAAUGCGUAGGGCAGAGGGCUGCGAUCCCGAAAGGGAGAGCUAAUCCCUAAACCUGCGCUUAGUUCGGAUCGAGGGCUGCAACCCGCCCUCGUGAAGCUGGAAUCCCUAGUAAUCGCGUGUACGAUUGU
rnacentral:rRNA from 1 species